rnacentral:rRNA from 2 species
GACUCGUCACACUAUCAUUAACUGAAUCCAUAGGUUAAUGAGGCGAACCGGGGGAACUGAAACAUCUAAGUACCCCGAGGAAAAGAAAUCAACCGAGAUUCCCCCAGUAGCGGCGAGCGAACGGGGAGGAGCCCAGAGCCUGAAUCAGCAUGUGUGUUAGUGGAAGCGUCUGGAAAGGCGCGCGAUACAGGGUGACAGCCCCGUACACAAAAGCGCAUGUGCUGUGAGCUCGAUGAGUAGGGCGGGACACGUGGUAUCCUGUCUGAAUAUGGGGGGACCAUCCUCCAAGGCUAAAUACUCCUGACUGACCGAUAGUGAACCAGUACCGUGAGGGAAAGGCGAAAAGAACCCCGGCGAGGGGAGUGAAAAAGAACCUGAAACCGUGUACGUACAAGCAGUGGGAGCACAGGUUUACCUGUGUGACUGCGUACCUUUUGUAUAAUGGGUCAGCGACUUAUAUUCUGUAGCAAGGUUAACCGAAUAGGGGAGCCGGAGGGAAACCGAGUCUUAAUUGGGCGUUAAGUUGCAGGGUAUAGACCCGAAACCCGGUGAUCUAGCCAUGGGCAGGUUGAAGGUUGGGUAACACUAACUGGAGGACCGAACCGACUAAUGUUGAAAAAUUAGCGGAUGACCUGUGGCUGGGGGUGAAAGGCCAAUCAAACCGGGAGAUAGCUGGUUCUCCCCGAAAGCUAUUUAGGUAGCGCCUCGUGAAUUCAUCUCCGGGGGUAGAGCACUGUUUCGGCUAGGGGGCCAUCCCGGCUUACCAACCCGAUGCAAACUGCGAAUACCGGAGAAUGUUAUCACGGGAGACACACGGCGGGUGCUAACGUCCGUCGUGAAGAGGGAAACAACCCAGACCGCCAGCUAAGGUCCCAAAGUCAUGGUUAAGUGGGAAACGAUGUGGGAAGGCCCAGACAGCCAGGAUGUUGGCUUAGAAGCAGCCAUCAUUUAAAGAAAGCGUAAUAGCUCACUGGUCGAGUCGGCCUGCGCGGAAGAUGUAACGGGGCUAAACCAUGCACCGAAGCUGCGGCAGCGACGCUGAUGCGUUGUUGGGUAGGGGAGCGUUCUGUAAGCCUGCGAAGGUGGCCUGUGAGGGUUGCUGGAGGUAUCAGAAGUGCGAAUGCUGACAUAAGUAACGAUAAAGCGGGUGAAAAGCCCGCUCGCCGGAAGACCAAGGGUUCCUGUCCAACGUUAAUCGGGGCAGGGUGAGUCGACCCCUAAGGCGAGGCCGAAAGGCGUAGUCGAUGGGAAACGGGUUAAUAUUCCCGUACUUGGUGUUACUGCGAAGGGGGGACGGAGAAGGCUAUGUUGGCCGGGCGACGGUUGUCCCGGUUUAAGCGUGUAGGUGUGUGUUCCAGGUAAAUCCGGUUCACUUUAACACUGAGGCGUGAUGACGAGGCACUACGGUGCUGAAGCAACAAAUGCCCUGCUUCCAGGAAAAGCCUCUAAGCAUCAGGUAACAUCAAAUCGUACCCCAAACCGACACAGGUGGUCAGGUAGAGAAUACCAAGGCGCUUGAGAGAACUCGGGUGAAGGAACUAGGCAAAAUGGUGCCGUAACUUCGGGAGAAGGCACGCUGACACGUAGGUGAAGUGAUUUACUCAUGGAGCUGAAGUCAGUCGAAGAUACCAGCUGGCUGCAACUGUUUAUUAAAAACACAGCACUGUGCAAACACGAAAGUGGACGUAUACGGUGUGACGCCUGCCCGGUGCCGGAAGGUUAAUUGAUGGGGUCAGCGCAAGCGAAGCUCCUGAUCGAAGCCCCGGUAAACGGCGGCCGUAACUAUAACGGUCCUAAGGUAGCGAAAUUCCUUGUCGGGUAAGUUCCGACCUGCACGAAUGGCGUAAUGAUGGCCAGGCUGUCUCCACCCGAGACUCAGUGAAAUUGAACUCGCUGUGAAGAUGCAGUGUACCCGCGGCAAGACGGAAAGACCCCGUGAACCUUUACUAUAGCUUGACACUGAACAUUGAGCCUUGAUGUGUAGGAUAGGUGGGAGGCUUUGAAGUGUGGACGCCAGUCUGCAUGGAGCCGACCUUGAAAUACCACCCUUUAAUGUUUGAUGUUCUAACGUGGACCCGUGAUCCGGGUUGCGGACAGUGUCUGGUGGGUAGUUUGACUGGGGCGGUCUCCUCCUAAAGAGUAACGGAGGAGCACGAAGGUUGGCUAAUCCUGGUCGGACAUCAGGAGGUUAGUGCAAUGGCAUAAGCCAGCUUGACUGCGAGCGUGACGGCGCGAGCAGGUGCGAAAGCAGGUCAUAGUGAUCCGGUGGUUCUGAAUGGAAGGGCCAUCGCUCAACGGAUAAAAGGUACUCCGGGGAUAACAGGCUGAUACCGCCCAAGAGUUCAUAUCGACGGCGGUGUUUGGCACCUCGAUGUCGGCUCAUCACAUCCUGGGGCUGAAGUAGGUCCCAAGGGUAUGGCUGUUCGCCAUUUAAAGUGGUACGCGAGCUGGGUUUAGAACGUCGUGAGACAGUUCGGUCCCUAUCUGCCGUGGGCGCUGGAGAACUGAGGGGGGCUGCUCCUAGUACGAGAGGACCGGAGUGGACGCAUCACUGGUGUUCGGGUUGUCAUGCCAAUGGCACUGCCCGGUAGCUAAAUGCGGAAGAGAUAAGUGCUGAAAGCAUCUAAGCACGAAACUUGCCCCGA